rnacentral:rRNA from 1 species
UACGGAGGGGGCAAGCGUUGUCCGGACUUACUGGGCGUAAAGGGUGCGUAGGUGGCUUGCUGCGUCGGUGCUGAAAGCGCCCGGCUUAACCGGGCGAGGCGUGCCGAUACGAGCGAGCUGGAGCCUCGGAGAGGGCGGUGGAACUCCUGGUGUAGUGGUGAAAUGCGUAGAGAUCAGGAAGAACACCCGUGGCGCAAGCGACCGCCCUGGCCGAGUGCUGACACUGAUGCACGAGAGCGUGGGGAGCGAACCGG